rnacentral:rRNA from 1 species
GAUGAACGCUAGCUACAGGCUUAACACAUGCAAGUCGAGGGGAAACGAUAGAGAAAGCUUGCUUUUUCUAGGCGUCGACCGGCGCACGGGUGAGUAACGCGUAUCCAACCUGCCCAUCACUUGGGGAUAACCUUGCGAAAGUAAGACUAAUACCCAAUGACGUCUCUAGAAGACAUCUGAAGGAGAUUAAAGAUUUAUCGGUGAUGGAUGGGGAUGCGUCUGAUUAGCUUGUUGGCGGGGUAACGGCCCACCAAGGCGACGAUCAGUAGGGGUUCUGAGAGGAAGGCCCCCCACAUUGGAACUGAGACACGGUCCAGACUCCUACGGGAGGCAGCAGUGGGGAAUCUUCCGCAAUGGGCGAAAGCCUGACGGAGCAACGCCGCGUGAGUGAUGACGGCCUCGGUUGUAAACUACUGUGAUCCGGGACGAAAGGCAGAGU